rnacentral:rRNA from 1 species
GACCGGCGCACGGGUGAGUAACACGUAUGCAACCUGCCCGCCACAGGGGGAUAAGCGGAAGAAAUUCCGUCUAAUACCGCGUGACGCGGCGCCGGGGCAUCCCGGUGCCGCCAAAGGGAUUACCGGUGGCGGAUGGGCAUGCGGCGCAUUAGCUAGUCGGCGGGGUAACGGCCCACCGAGGCGACGAUGCGUAGGGGUUCUGAGAGGAAGGUCCCCCACACUGGUACUGAGACACGGACCAGACUCCUACGGGAGGCAGCAGUGAGGAAUAUUGGUCAAUGGGCGCGAGCCUGAACCAGCCAAGUCGCGUGAGGGAUGACGGUCCUACGGAUUGUAAACCUCUUUUGCCGGGGAGCAAGCGUGCGUUCGUGAACGCACGUCGAGAGUACCCGGAGAAAAAGCAUCGGCUAACUCCGUGCCAGCAGCCGCGGUAAUACGGAGGAUGCGAGCGUUAUCCGGAUUUAUUGGGUUUAAAGGGUGCGUAGGCGGGAUGCCAAGUCAGCGGUAAAAAUGCGGUGCUCAACGCCGUCGAGCCGUUGAAACUGGCGUUCUUGAGUGGGCGAGAAGUAUGCGGAAUGCGUGGUGUAGCGGUGAAAUGCAUAGAUAUCAC